rnacentral:rRNA from 1 species
GUUGAACGCUGGCGGCGUGCCUAAUACAUGCAAGUCGAGCGAACAGACGAGGAGCUUGCUCCUCUGACGUUAGCGGCGGACGGGUGAGUAACACGUGGAUAACCUACCUAUAAGACUGGGAUAACUUCGGGAAACCGGAGCUAAUACCGGAUAAUAUAUUGAACCGCAUGGUUCAAUAGUGAAAGACGGUUUUGCUGUCACUUAUAGAUGGAUCCGCGCCGCAUUAGCUAGUUGGUAAGGUAACGGCUUACCAAGGCAACGAUGCGUAGCCGACCUGAGAGGGUGAUCGGCCACACUGGAACUGAGACACGGUCCAGACUCCUACGGGAGGCAGCAGUAGGGAAUCUUCCGCAAUGGGCGAAAGCCUGACGGAGCAACGCCGCGUGAGUGAUGAAGGUCUUCGGAUCGUAAAACUCUGUUAUUAGGGAAGAACAAAUGUGUAAGUAACUAUGCACGUCUUGACGGUACCUAAUCAGAAAGCCACGGCUAACUACG